UACGUAGGGUGCGAGCGUUAAUCGGAAUUACUGGGCGUAAAGCGUGCGCAGGCGGUUUUGUAAGCCGGAUGUGAAAUCCCCGGGCUCAACCUGGGAAUGGCAUUUGGGACUGCAAGGCUGGAGUGCGGCAGAGGAGACUGGAAUUCCUGGUGUAGCAGUGAAAUGCGUAGAUAUCAGGAGGAACACCGAUGGCGAAGGCAGGUCUCUGGGCUGACACUGACGCUCAUGCACGAAAGCGUGGGGAGCAAACAGG
rnacentral:rRNA from 1 species